ACUUGAAUAGUAUGGAAAGUAAAUUAGAAUAUGUAGUGUAGCGGUGAAAUGCUUAGAUAUUACAUGGAAUACCAAUUGCGAAGGCAGAUUACUACGUACUUAUUGACGCUGAUGAACGAAAGCGUGGGUAGCGAACAGGAUUAGAUACCCUGGUAGUCCACGCCGUAAACGAUGGAUACUAGCUGUUCGGUUUUCGGACUGAGUGGCUAAGCGAAAGUGAUAAGUAUCCCACCUGGGGAGUACGUUCGCAAGAAUGAAACUCAAAGGAAUUGACGGGGGCCCGCACAAGCGGUGGAGCAUGUGGUUUAAUUCGAUGAUACGCGAGGAACCUUACCAAGGCUUAAAUGUAGAUUGACAGGUUUAGAGAUAGACUUUUCUUCGGACAAUUUACAAGGUGCUGCAUGGUUGUCGUCAGCUCGUGCCGUGAGGUGUCAGGUUAAGUCCUAUAACGAGCGCAACCCCUAUUGUUAGUUGCCAGCGAGUAAUGUCGGGAACUCUAACAAGACUGCCGGUGCAAACCGUGAGGAAGGUGGGGAUGACGUCAAAUCAUCACGGCCCUUACGUCUUGGGCUACACACGUGCUACAAUGGCCAGUACAGAAAGCAGCUACCAGGCAACUGGAUGCGAAUCUCAAAAACUGGUCUCAGUUCGGAUUGGAGUCUGCAACUCGACUCCAUGAAGCUGGAAUCGCUAGUAAUCGGAUAUCAGCCAUGAUCCGGUGAAUACGUUCCCGGGCCUUGUACACACCGCCCGUCAAGCCAUGGAAGCCGGGGGUACCUGAAGUCGGUCGCCGCAAGGAGCUGCA
rnacentral:rRNA from 1 species